AGAGUUUGAUCMUGGCUCAGGAUGAACGCUGGCGGCGUGCCUAAUACAUGCAAAGUCGAACGAGGUGCUUUUGUAGCAAUACGGAAGUAUCCUAGUGGCGAACGGGUGAGUAACGCGUUGGUGACCUACCCCAAAGUGUGGGAUAACAGUUCGAAAGAACUGCUAAUACCGCAUGUGGUUAUUGGAUUUAGAAACCAAUAACUAAAGGAGCAAUUCGCUUUGGGAGGGACCUGCGUCCCAUCAGCUAGUUGGUGAGGUAAUGGCUCACCAAGGCUACGACGGGUAGGGGACCUGAGAGGGUGACCCCCCACAAUGGAACUGAAACACGGUCCAUACACCUACGGGUGGCAGCAGUAGGGAAUAUUGCACAAUGGGGGCAACCCUGACGCAGCGACGCCGCGUGGAUGAUGAAGGCCUUCGGGUCGUAAAAUCCUGUCAGAUGGAAAGAAGUGCAUAGUGGGUUAAUACCGCUAUGUUUGACGGUACCAUCGAAGGAAGCACCGGCUAACUCCGUGCCAGCCGCCGCGGUAAUA
rnacentral:rRNA from 1 species